rfam:Saccharothrix sp. ST-888 contig-183, whole genome shotgun sequence.
GCGCGAUUAGCUCAGCGGGAGAGCACUACCUUGACACGGUAGGGGUCACUGGUUCAAUCCCAGUAUCG